rnacentral:rRNA from 1 species
UACGGAGGUGGCAAGCGUUGCUCGGAAUCACUGGGCGUAAAGGGCGCGUAGGCGGGGAGGUAAGUCGGGUGUGAAAUCCCUCGGCCCAACCGAGGAACUGCGCCCGAGACUGCUUCUCUUGAGUCCCGGAGAGGAAGAUGGAAUUCCCAGUGUAGCGGUGAAAUGCGUAGAUAUUGGGAAGAACACCUGAGGCGAAGGCGGGUUGCUGGGCUGACACUGACGCUGAGGCGCGAAAGCCAGGGGAGCGAACGGG